rnacentral:tRNA from 1 species
GCGUCCGUCGUAUAGUGGCUAUUACCCCAGCCUUCCAAGCUGGAGACGUGGGUUCGAUUCCCAUCGGACGCU